rnacentral:rRNA from 1 species
UACGUAGGGUGCGAGCGUAAUCGGAAUUACUGGGCGUAAAGCGUGCGCAGGCGGUGAUGUAAGACAGAUGUGAAAUCCCCGGGCUUAACCUGGGAACUGCAUUUGUGACUGCAUCGCUGGAGUGCGGCAGAGGGGGAUGGAAUUCCGCGUGUAGCAGUGAAAUGCGUAGAGAUCAUGAGGAAGACCAGUGGCGAAGGCGGGUCUCUGGACAGUUCCUGACACUGAGACACGAAGCCAGGGGAGCAAACGGG